UACGAAGGGUGCAAGCGUUACUCGGAAUUACUGGGCGUAAAGCGUGCGUAGGCGGUUCGUUAAGUCCGUUGUGAAAGCCCUGGGCUCAACCUGGGAAUAGCAGUGGAUACUGGCGAGCUAGAGUGUGAUAGAGGAUGGUGGAAUUCCCGGUGUAGCGGUGAAAUGCGUAGAGAUCGGGAGGAACACCAGUGGCGAAGGCGGCCAUCUGGAUCAACACUGACGCUGAGGCACGAAAGCGUGGGGAGCAAACAGG
rnacentral:rRNA from 1 species